AUUUUUUUUAACUUUCUCUUAAAAUGUAAUUUCAAAACACUACCUUCUCCAGGGUUACUGUUUUGUGCAUCAAGGCCCCCCAAGAUGUCGGUAAGGAGAAGUGGGGUCCGCUCCCCCUUCUCCGCAUGGCUGUAGGGGGAGGAGCGUGUGCCCAGGGACGGCCCGUGUGCUUGUGCUGUCCGUCUGCCCACCGGGCCCACCCGGACACUUGUGGCUGGUGCAGAGGCCCUGGCCUCCUCAUCGGGCACCGGGGUGGGGAGGGGCAAACAGGGCCCACGGAGGGGCUCCCUUGUACAGCGGAGCCCCUGCCUGGUAGGGAGGGGGGUCAGGUAGAACAAGGCUGGCCCCCCCACCCAAACAAGUGGUUCUGGCCUUCGGAAUCUGCUCCCGUGCUGUUUGUGAACUGGGGACUAUUUUGUUUGUGGGCCUGGGCGGCCACGGAGGGGUCUCCUUCCCACGUGAGGGCCUUCGUGCUCAAGAGUUUCUGAGUAAAUCAGCCCAGGUCCCUGAGGAUCAUGGCUCUCCUGCCCCGUCUCGGUGGCUGUGGGGGCACAGCCUUCCAGGCCAGUCCCUGCAAACCUUCCACUCACCUGGGAGGCUCUCUGGGCCCUGGGCUGGGGUGUGGGGAGGGAGGAUAAAGGAAGAGCCCACUCGGGGAGGGUCUGCGUCAGGGUGGGACCCAGCGCCCCUUAUGCUCAGAGUCGAGACAGAAAGCAGUCUCUCUUCGGAGCACACACAGGCACUGCGGGCAGUUCGUCCAGUGCUUGGAUCGGGACACUCCUUGGUGGCCUGAGGUGUCCCGUUCGGAACCCACCAGCCCUCCCCACCCUCAGGUGCACGCCGGGCUCCUCGUGAAGCCAGAAGUGUCCCUAGGCUGAGCAGACACAGCGUUUUAUUUGUUGAAGGAAAUUACCGUGGGCAAUGAACACAUCAUUAGCGGCGUAAUCAGCACACGCGCCUUCCCGCUGGGGACGCCACAUCUUGUCAACAGGUGUAAUCCGGCAACAGCCCGGGGAGGGCCGGGAACGGGCUGCAAUUAGUAGCUAAUGAGGACGCCUGCCCUGACCUGUUCCUCCUUGGGAGAGAGACCGGUGUGGGCCUGAGGGGGGAGGGUCACAGAGAGAGCGCUGGGGCUCCCAGGGUCCUGCCUCCACACCCACCAGGCGCAGGAAGCAGCAGAAAGAGCUCGUCGGCCACACGGCCUCACUGCUGCACACGUGUCCCUAGGUCUGGGAGGUUGGCUCCGCUUCAGCCCUGGACGCCGAAGCCGUCUCAGUGGGGAGGUGCCAGCAGGAAGCCCCCUUUGCUUGACCAGGUGCCAGAAAGAGAGUGCCAGGAAGGCCCCGGGACAUGGCCGGCCACUUUCUGUGGCUGGGCCUCUGGGCUGUGGCCUAGGAAGUGUGGCCGGGGGCACAGUCCACUCUUGGAGGGCGCGCCUGAGGCUGGUCAGGCUUCGAGGCCUGCAGCUCGGAGCGGGAGCGGGUGGGGGGAGCGAGGCAACUCUCUGGGGGCGGGUUGUGGGGCUCGUUUGUGGCACUCUCCCCCUGGCCCUGAGCUGCCUCUGCGUCUGCACUUUGUACUCAGCCCCCAAGUCAUCAAGGGGGCCAUCUGGGGUGUCUGGAGGCAGAGCUGAGACUGCUGGGUGGCGCGGGGCCCCCUCAGGAGCCCCCAGGCCUCCGGGCCCAUGCACCCUUGGUGCUCACGUGCUUCGGCUCUGCAGCCCACCCGGCAGUCCCUCCACGUGUUGUACCUGCAGCCCCCUCGCCCAUUGCCAGCCACACCCAUGCUCACGGCGGGCUGACCAGUCCAGGAACCCCUGGUCGGGGUGAAGGGGGUCGCAGUGUUGUCCCGCUGGCCUGGCCCUGUGAAGAUGACAGGCUCAGAGACGGGCAGGGCCACCCAUCCAGACCUCCCCGGGGUUGGGGAUCACACACGUGUCCGUGUUCACAUCUGGCCCAUCGGCAGCACCAGGUUGGUCCUCUGGGGCGCCUUCUUUUGGGGGACGUGGCAUUUUCCCCACCCUGCUGCCACUUAUGAGCUCCCUCCUAAGUCAUCUCUGUGGCCCCCCCCCCCCCACCGUCCCUGGCUGUGGCCCCUCUGAUGCUGCCCUGCCGGCCACCCUCACCUAGCCCCCACGGCCCCGGGAGGACCCCUCCCCAGCACCUUCCAAGGUGUUCCAUGGAGCUCCAGGUGGGGCCGGCUCAGACAGCACCCCCCGGGAUAGCUCAGGGGGCUUGACCAGCACAGUGACUGGAGGACCAGGAACCUGGAAGCCCACUUGGUUUUCUCUGUGUGAGGUUUGUAUUGGUUCGUGAGGUCAGGCCUGGCCCACUGCCUGUGGGCGGGUGACCCCGUGCUUUGGGCCUCGGAGCCGAGCCCUGAGACGUCUCAGCUCUUGACGUUUUGGCACUCUUCAGCAGACCCAUCCCAGGCUCCCUUCCCUCCUGCCCUGCCAGUCUCCGCUGGGGACAGCCUCCAGCUCACCUGGGCUGUAGCAGCUGGGAGUAGGGGGGAGUCCCCCACACUCCGUAGAAGAUGAGGUCUUUCUUGUGCUGGGGGCACUGGGAGGGAGGAGCCCGCUGCCUUGCUAUAGAUGGGGUAGGGGAGCCAUUGUGCAGAACAGAAGGGCUCACGGCAGGGUCCGCUCCACCGCUGCCCGGACGACGCUCUUCCGUGACUGUGACCUGUGAGAGCCGCAGCUUGAUUCCCCGAGGUCCUGGCUCGUCUCUCCAUCUCGGCCUCGUUUUCCCUUCUGUGGUGGCAUGGAGGAAGUGACCUGGGGCCACCUCCACCCUGGGCAGCCCUGACUUCCCCGUGUACCUUAGGGUCCUUGUCAUCCCAAUCCGGACCACUGCUCCCAGAGGUCACCCUGACUGCAGGAGGCACUGGGAGGUGGGGAUGUGUCAAAGCCAGAGAACAGUGAGGAAGCACUUCCACCCUCUGAUGGCCAGGUGAGCCACCUCCUGCCAGAGCCCGGUCACUCGCCCUUGGAAGCCGUCCUGACGUGCGGUAGGGUCCUUGUGGGUGGCCAGGGGUCUGAGGAAGGGACCAGACCUGGAGUCGGUGGGGCCAAGUAGGCCACAGGCCAAGUCUGGUGGGGAGGGGAAACAGGUCACCCCAGAUGCCCUGGCUGCAGUGGCUUCAGAGCAGGCCCAGGACACCUGCCACGUGGAGGCCAGAGGCCAGUCUUGACAGACCCGGGGAGCUCCACAGAGAGCUGGUCCAGGGCCUGGUCCACGGUCAGCUCCUGGGUGAUGGUGCCUGAGGCCAUGAAGGAGGUGGCCAGCUGGGCUGGCGGGCCUAUCCGGGACCCGGGCCUGGAGGUGGGCAUUGCCCGUCAGCUUGGCUGUCAGGGAGGCACCUGUCCCGCUCCAAAGUCCAGCUGGCUUCGCUCCUCCCUCCCCGUGCUUGAGCCACCGAGCCUCCGGUCCCGAUGUAGCAGGUGCUCGGUCGGAAAGACGCAGUCUCCCUGGAGCACGUGGCCACGUCUGAGCAUGAGGGUCCCUGCAGGCAUGUCCUCAGCCCACACUGUGGUUCAGCUCCCUGCGGGGGAGGCAAGUUCUGCCCAUCUGCUCCCAGUGACCGCCCAGGGACCCGAACGGUGCUGGGGUGGGGUGGGGGGGUCAGAGAGUGAGGGUAGCCCCGUGUGCUGCUGACCCUCACCCCCAGAUGCCUUGCACGCCAGGAGGGUUCUGCAGAGGCCACUGGUGCUGUGGGGAGCCAGCACCAGGAGCAGCUGGAAGACACCGUCGCGGCCCCUCACUCGGGGGUUGGGGCACAGGGGUGGGGUCACUGCCCAGGCGCCCCCUACCCGACUCAGCACCGGGGCCACCCACCCCCACCUUUUCCUACAUCUGCUGGAAGGCAUCACGGAAGACAUCCCCCCGGAUCAGGGCCAGGAUGGCACCAGCCGUGGCCAGCAGGAAGGGCAGCAGCCCCUGCAGCCCACCUGGGAAGCCACAACAUACAAGAAGCCCACAGGCCUGGCUGACGCAGAGUGUGGUGUUGGCAGCCUCAGCCCUGGCACUCGCGGACACCCUCAGAAUGUCCAACAAGACGAGCGGCCACCUAGCUGGUGGCUCUGAGCAGGUCUAUAGCUGUGAGCAGAGGUGAGGCUCAGCAGGGCAGGGGACAUCAGCCGGGUGAAUAGCCACAGCCCCACCACCCACACGUCUGCCUCAGGCCAGCUGGGCUGGGUCACUGGUUCCUGUGGCUGCAGUCCCCGUGGCCUCAGGGACACAGCGGCAAAGGGAAACAUCCCUGGCCACCUACCAGACCUGGCCAGUUCUGGGGGGCAGGAAGGGGCCCCCUCGUUUCCUUGAGGCUGGGGCCCAGCUGCAGGCAUGCAGCCACCCCCUGGCAAGUGCCACCCGGCAAAGCGGGAAACCGAGGCCCUGGAACCUGCUCGCAGGGCAGUGGCUGAGGGAGAAUGUCGCCCUUGGGGUGCCAGACACCGGAACCGUCCCCACACUCCUCUCUCAAAGCCGAGAGACCUGACUCUUACGUGGGCUCUGGUCAGUCAUCGGACCUCUCUGGCCCUCAGUUUCCUUCUCUGUAAAAAGGUAAAAACCCAUCUGCAGUGGGUCUUCAUUCACAGAAUGAAUAUUCUGCUCUGGACUGGCAUCAGGGCGGAAACAGGGGCUCAGGGAGAAAGGGGCUGACCUCUCAGAGUCAGGAAGACCGCCAGCCAAUGAAGGCUUCCUGGAAGAGGCCACCUGGUGCAGAGACCCGUGACAGGUCUGCUCCAGGCUCCAGGCCAGCCUACUCUGGUUCUUUUUGUUAUUUUGCCCACACUGGGGAACAGGUGUUUCAAGAAAUCGGACUGGAGACAGCCUACUGAACUCGGGGCACGGACCCUGCCGUGCCAGGACGUGGGUCCUGCCGGGGAACCUGGCCGCCCACCCUUGGACUCAUGGAGAUGAUCAGAUUAGACGGAAGUGCGUCCACACCAGCGAUCAAACCAGGAGUGACCGUUCAUCCGAUUCCUUAGCCGUGACUGGAUGCCUUCCCUGAUGAGGAACAGAUUCAGUCCUGUGAACAGGAGAAAAAAGGCCUUUUCUUUUUGUGCAGAAUAAGCAGCCCACAUUUGUUUUGUUCACCCGAAGAGUGACAAGGCCAGCAAUAGCCUGGGGGCAACGCCUGACAGAGAGGAAGGACAAACAGAGGUCGUGCAUGAGGAAGGAGAAGCCAGCUGCACGCCUGAGCGCAACUUGCAAAACGUGGAGCUGAGCCGCGCUGGGAGGAGACCGGAAAGGAAGGCACAUCCAGGUACUCACCGAGCCUCGGGCACUUCUAGGCUUCGGCUGUCCCUCUCCUUGUUGACGCCUGCCUGCUAACUGCCAAUCGUUUGUGGAACAGGAAUCCUUCAUUCUGGUGAAGUCCGACUCACCCACAAUCAGCAGAGUGGCCGCACCAGCCAGCAUUCCCACCAGCAGUGCCAAAGAGAUCCUCUCUCUCCGCAUCCUCGCCCGUGUCAGGACUAGUGGGGUGGCCUGCGGAGAUCCUGUGGCGGCACCAGGUGGGGGACCCACCCUUGCCCACUGAGCCUCGUCUCACGGCACGAGAAAUGGGGCAGUGAGACGCUGUGAAGUAAGGCGUCAGCUCCCAACUCGAGCCUGGUACGUGCCCGCGCCCCCCAGGGGAGGCCCAGGCUGGGGCUGCUCUCCACCCGGGGCCCCCCCUCCUCCCGGGUGACUCCCCCCUACAUUCCUGCGGCAGGAGCAGCCUGCUCCCAGCUGGCAAGGCCUCCUUUGUUUGGCUCGACUGACCCGAGGGGGUGCCGGACUCUUGGCCACUUCCGGGUUGAGGAAACCAAGGCGAAGGAGGCUCGGGUUUGGUAGAUCGCCCUGAAAGAACCACAGUGCAGGGCCCACUGGCACCGGGGGACGUUCCCAGGGGACUUUCCCGUGGUGUCCUGGGGUCCAGCCCAGUAUCCAGGGCCAAAAGGGGCUGACCAUGGCCUCAUCCGCGUGGGGUGGGGACAACGGCCCAGCUGGGGUCUGGGUCACCCGCAUGAACAUGCCUGGGGAGGUGAGGGUGGGGUCACGUCCAUCAGCACUCCUGGCACCUCUAGCUAAGGUCUGAGUGGGAGCGGCGGUUAGCCAAGGCUGGUCCCAGGGCCCACCUGGGAGGGACGCUGGCCACCCCAAAGAAGCAGGCUGGGGGGGCAACCCGGCCCCUGCCACCACAGAUGCCCCCUUCCAAGGUCCUUGCACUCGGCGAGUGUGAGGACCGCCCCCC